UCAACCUGCUGAAUUUAAGCAUAUAAGUAGGCGGUGGAAAAUGAACCAAAUGGGAUCCCUUUAAUAAUUGCGAAUGAAUGAGGAUGUGCUCAGCUUGAAAACUGCAGCUCCUGAGCUUUGAAUUGUAAUGUUGCAUUGUACCACCAGCAAAGGUGCAGGUGCAAGCCUGUUGAAAGACAGCGUCGAUGAGGGUGAGAUUCCUGUUCGUCAUCUGCAACCCCCUGUGCACGGUAUACAUUUGGCGAGUCACAUUCCUUGGCAUUGGAAUGCUAAUUGGGUGGUAAAUUCCAUGCAAAGGUAAAUAUGUUAUUGAGUCUGAUAACUAACAAGUACCAUGAGGGAAAUAUGAAAAGGAUUUUGAAAAGAGAAUUAAAAGAGCCUGCAUUUGCUGAACAGAAAGCAAACAGAAGUGUUUCACUUGGUGGGAUUGUUGUGCUUAUGUUUGCAUUUAUGUGUUGAACAUGUGUGCAGUGGGUCUUACCUUGG
rnacentral:rRNA from 14 species